GCUGCUGGCAGUGCAAAGAUCUAGAGCAUGAGGAGGUGCCCAAGGCUCUCAAGCCUUUAUCUGCUGGAGAGCACUGGCAAGACCAAGAGGAUCCCUUCAGAAAGACCACUGCAGAGCUUUCUGUUCUCAUGCACUGCAGAGAUGGGGCAGCAGCUGUAAGAUAUAGGGUGCAGAGAUGUCGCAAGGGAUUCCAUUGUUUCGGAGCACCCACUGGUGUCCUGCCAGAUACAGAAAGGAAUGUUGUCUCCAAGAGCCAUUAGGCUGGGGGCAUGUGGCUACUCUCACAAGCCCCUGAGAUGUUGAGUCAGAAUAUGUCUUGGACAUCUCCUGAGUGGUUUACCACCCUAUGUGACAAGGAGAUGAAAGGACUCACUCAAGUGCUCAGGGAAUAGCUGGUUGCCAGCACUGAGGUCCCUGGCUGAACCUCUGUGGCUCCUGGGCUCCCACAUCUGAUAUCUAAUGAAAAAAAAAAAGGUCUUUUCUCCAUGUU